rnacentral:rRNA from 1 species
AACGAACGCUGGCGGCGUGCCUAACACAUGCAAGUCGAACGAGAAAGGGGCUUCGGCUCCGAGUAAAGUGGCGCACGGGUGAGUAACACGUGGGUAACCUGCCUCUAAGAUUGGGAUAACUCGUCGAAAGAUGAGCUAAUACCGAAUAAGACCACAGUUCCCGCGGGAACAGGGGUCAAAGGUAGCCUCUGCUUGCAAGCUAUCACUUAGAGAUGGGCCUGCGCACCAUUAGCUAGUUGGUAGGGUAACGGCCUACCAAGGCAAAGAUGGUUAGCUGGUCUGAGAGGAUGAUCAGCCACACUGGAACGGAGACACGGUCCAGACUCCUACGGGAGGCAGCAGUGGGGAAUAUUGCGCAAUGGGCGAAAGCUUGACGCAGCAACGCCGCGUGAGUGAUGAAGGCCUUCGGGUCGUAAAGCUCUGUCGGGAGGAACGAAUGCUCCUGAGGUUAACAGCCUCGGGAGGUGACGGUACCUUCAAAGGAAGCACCGGCUAACUCUGUG